GCAGAUCCACCUACAUUUGUCUUCCAUAUGCUGGGAUUCAAAGAAUGAGCCACUGCGCAUGCCCAGCCAGAGCCACGCUCUUCGUAUGAAUCAUUUGCCAAGAAAGUGUCCUCUUUAGUGGCCUUUGAAGGAUGAGUAGCAUUUUAUAAUAAUCAGUAUAGUGUAAUUUGUUUUCUGGCCUGUUUUAUGCUCAAAUAAGUAGCUAGGUAAAAACAAAUGGGCUGUAAAAAAAAAAAAAAAGGAGGAAGAGGAAGAAGAAGAAGGAGAAGGAGAAGAGGAGGAAGAAGAAGAACUAACCAAGUUUCUCACUGCUAUAUCUGGAAAUGGGCUAAUAAAGUCUUUCCACUGUAUAGUGACUGGGUAGAAUAGUAGGACAAGUCCUUGGUAGAAGUGCACUGGAAUCCAUUUUCUUUCCAACUCCUGACUGAUGUCCUGACUGAACCGCAUAUAACUAUGAGGAAAAGAGCUCUGGCAGGCUCCCAUUCGGGCUGCCGAGAGCCAGCCAGCCUGCCGAAGCAUGAGUAUACAUGUACACACAUGGACCAUGUGUAUGGAUGUGUGCAAACAGACUUCCGUCUCUAUGAUAUGUCUCACAUGGGAUGAUGCUCUGCUCUCAGAAUUUUUGUAUUUGUGUAUAGAAGUGGGUUUAAUAACUCACCGUGAUUCUGCUUUGUCUUGUAGCCAUCGUUUCUUGAGACGCUUGUCUGUGUUUUUUUAAUAAAAAUAAAAUAAAGUAAAAGCAA
rnacentral:lncRNA from 1 species